rnacentral:lncRNA from 1 species
AUUGGGGCCAUCCUUACUGCUGAAGCAAUGCAGAUGUCGUAAUUUAUGAUUUCUUCUCCUGAGGGUUAGACUACAUUCUGGUCUCCAUUUUAACAUUCCUCUGGAUUCUUCAGAAGACAGUAGCAAAAAUAAAGCCUUUUCUGGAGUGUGUUAAAGAUCCAGAUCCUCAGCCAGUGUAAACCCAUUACCUGCCUUAAAGCUAAGUCAAUUUACACCAACUUUGGAUCUAGCCAAAUGCUUUUUUAAAUGACUGUGGCAAUAUAUUGCGUGGAUGCAUAAUUAUCUUUCAAAUCAGUUUUAGUGCCUCAACAACAAAACCAGCAAAUUGCCAUGAAAAGGGAAAUUUAUAUACACUUUUUGUUUGUUUGUGUGUAUGUGGGUUUUUUCACUGAUACUUAUACCUCUUUUACAGAUCAGCUGUAUUGGGCAUGAAUUUCAGUGCAUUUCCAUGGCCACCAGGCUUCUGAAGGGAAGUUCCACCCUGCAGAGAAGUAACUGCCCUUAUAAGUGCAAAGCUCAAGUAUACUGGCGGGAAUUUUGGACACACAAAAUAUGAAAUAUGCACAUCAGACAAUAUUAUUAGCUACCGAGAUAAGUAAAUCCAGAUAUAGCUUUGCCUUCUAGCUGUUGUUCAAUCAAUAGCAUUGCGCAAUAUUUGGCAUUCCAUUGCCUCAGAAACCAAGACCUACGUGAGUGAAUUGUUCUCAUUUCAUGGCAUCUAGCCAGACCAGGAUGUGAGUCUCACUUUGCAUUUUUAGCUCAUAUUGGGGUCUGGUUCUGCUUUGCUAUGUUGCAU